rnacentral:rRNA from 1 species
CCUACGGGUGGCAGCAGUGGGGAAUAUUGGGCAAUGGGCGCAAGCCUGACCCAGCAACGCCGCGUGAAGGAAGAAGGCUUUCGGGUUGUAAACUUCUUUUCUGAGGGACGAAGGAAGUGACGGUACCUCAGGAAUAAGCCACGGCUAACUACGUGCCAGCAGCCGCGGUAAUACGUCGGUGGCAAGCUUUAUCCGGAUUUAUUGGGGGUAAAGGGUGUGUAGGCGGGAAAGCAAGUCAGAUGUGAAAACUCAGGGCUCAACCCAGAUCCUGUAUUAGAAAGUGGUUGUCUUGAGUGCUGGAGAGGCAAGCGGAAUUCCGGGUGUAGCGGUGAAAUGCGUAGAUAUCCGGAGGAACACCAGUGGCGAAGGCGGAUUGCUGGACAGUAACUGACGCUGAGGCGCGAAAGCGUGGGGAGCAAACAGGAUUAGAUACCCGUGUAGUC